GGAGAAGUGUCUGAGUGGCUUAAAGAGCACGCUUGGAAAGCGUGUAUGCGAUUUAUUCGCAUCGUAGGUUCGAAUCCUAUCUUCUCCG
rnacentral:tRNA from 1 species